AUUAAUAGUUUAGCGUGUAAUAGGAAAACAUUUACACACAAUUGAGCGGAUCUAGUUAAAACAAUUCAGAAAGUUUUAAUUUAUUCUACAAAAAGUAAAAAAAAAAAGAUUGCUCCGGAUUUUAAACAGAUAUCAAAAAGAUGUGGUAUCUACUUCUUGCAAGUAUUUUCGUAUUGUUUAGCACCAUACAUAAUGCCGAAGCCUACACCCCAAACGACACUGCCACUUUACAGGCGGACUUGUACGCUUCGUACGCAAAGAAAUUUAGACCGCGAUCCAAAACAGAUGUGUUGCUGGAGUUUGGACUCUUACAUAUUACAGAACUGGAUAUUGUUACACAGCGCUUACACUGCGUGGGAUUUCUUUUAAUGGAUUGGAACGAUGACCGGUUGCAGUGGACACCGUCACAAUACGGGAAUAUGACCUUCACCAUGACCUUAUUACCAGACCUUUGGACUCCGCCUCUAACUUUGAGUAAUGCAGCGGAUGAAAUAAAAUUGCUAAAUGACAAUUCUAAUUUUGCGAGUUCCCCAGUUUUCGCGCAGCACGACGGGGCUGUGGUCUGGAUGGCACCAGCCAAUUUCAUAGCACAGUGUACGAUCAACAUAAAAUACUACCCAUUUGAUUCACAAAACUGCAAAAUUGUGGUUACUUCAUGGAUGUACUUGGAAAAUCAAAUAGAUCUUGGUGCAGCCUUUUCAAAAAUCAACCUUGACAUAUAUGAGGAACAUGGUGAAUGGGAAAUUACUCAAACUUCUGUGAAUAAUAUCACAAGAGUACUAAGUGGUUACCGUUUGCCAGCAAUUCAGUUCUCGAUUCAUCUUAAGAGAAAAUAUUCCUACUAUCUGUUGAACAUGCUGCUUCCGGUAGUCAUUCUUGCUGUCAUGGCGCCAUUUGUAUUCAUCUUGCCAGUGGAGAGCGGAGAGAAGAUCGGUUAUGCUCUGACAAUUCUUUUGUCGUUGUCAGUUGUCAUGACACUCGUGUCUGACAGUAUACCACCAACAUCGACUAAUAUUUGCGUCCUAAGCGUGUAUCUAUUGACGACGUUCAUUAUCUGUUCUUUGGUAACCUUGGUAACAGUUAUUACAUGCAGGGUACACGAACUUCACAACAAAACAUAUCUGAUGGGUGAGAGAUGUCAGAAACUUGCCAGGGUCCUCGCUAAAAUUACGAGAUACAGAAGAAGGCCUAAAAUUGGUGACUUAAAUGAACUCAAAGAGGACCAUAGCCAAAAGAUAAUACAAGUUAAAAUGGCAGAAAAGAUUGGCCUGUCUGAACAGCCAGAACGAGACAAUAAUAACGCCUGGACUGAAAAUGAAAACGAAGAAAAAUAUUCAGAAAUAGAAGUUAAAAUUGAAUUCACUUACGAGGAUAUGGUGAUCAUGUGUGAAACAUUAAAUUUCAUUGCGUUUACAAUUUUGACAUCAUCCGUUACAAUUAUUGUCAUGGUAAUUCUCCAAACUGGAGAGUCUGUCUAAAGGAAUUGUUCCAUCCAGAUUUUCUAAGACAGAGACAUUUUAAUGUCAGGGCAGUUUCAAAGUAGGUUUAAUCUCCGGAACAUAGUAGGAAAAUAUUUUGAAUCAAUGUGACGGGGCCAUUAAAAUGAAGCUCGCAGUCUUUCCGAUAAUUUAAGAAUCUAGGCGUGGGAGUUGGACAGAUGUAACGAAGCUGAUGUUAUGAUUUCAAUCAUUUAUAUAAAAGUGUCUCUUUUUCAAAAUGAAACCUAUACUAGUAGAAAAAGUAACCAUUUUGCGUCUUGUGUGAUUGAAAACUGUAUCGGGGAUCAUAGUAUCUUUUUGUCAGGCGAAUUUUAUGGAAAAGUCGGGAUAUUUUUUAUUACGGCUAGUGUCACCACUUUUAUCUUGUCAAGUGCGUGAAAUCGGAAUAAUGCUUAAUGACAGGAAAAUGUCAGAAAACUUUAUUUGAGCCGCACCAUGAGAAAACCAACAUAAUUCAUAGUGCAUUUGCGACCAGCAUGGAUCCAGACCAGCCUGCGCACUGUUCUAUAAAUAGCGCACAUAAAAACUUCACUUCGUUCCAUUUUAUACGGUGUUCCAUUUGGACAAUCGUGACAUUUUAUUUAAUACUAAACCGCGAUGCACGAUGGUACGAUGACGAAAACGCGAUGGCACGAUGAUGAAACAACGAUGGUACGAUGGUGAAAACGCGAUGGCACGAUGAUGAAAUCGCGAUGGUGCGAUGGAACGAUGGUGAAAUCCCAGUAUGGACCGUUCGGUAAAAUGUUACCGUGUAUAAAUAUCGCACACGGUCGGACAAAACGUAAGUUCGGAACGGCCAUGUUGUCUUUACAGCAGGUGUUAACAUAACGGUCAAGACAGUCACUUUCGUAUGGACUAAUCUGUAUGUUAUUUUCGUUUCUUGAUUCAGUCGUUUCGCAGUUUAUAUGAAUAAAACGCGGAAAAUUCUUUUGACGAAAUGUCGUAACAUUUAAAUUCGGACACUCGAUUAUUUUGUCAUACGUCAUAUGCUCCAGUCUGUUGAUAUUUCUCUAAGCUGGUGUGAAAAAUUCAAAAGACGUGCAGUGUCACAAUAAUUUUCUCUUGAUUUACCCCUAAAUUCCCGCUGCAGCUCCGGUUUAUUGAACUGAACACGUACUGUGGAAGGCACGUGAUUUGUUUCAAUGACAACGUCUUUCUGUCCACCUGCAACAUAAAUUCAUCUUGCGUAAAUUCUUUUGCAGAAUAAAUUAAAUUUUAUUUGGAGUGAACUUUGGCAAAGUACCAUUAGUAUCACAGAUACGUUACUGAAUACUGAACUUAAAUGCAGAAUAACUAAUUUGGUAUAUAAAACUAAAUAAAAAUAUAUGCUUCAUGUUACGUAUAUUGUAAAAUGAAAAAAAUAAGUGAAAAACACAUGAAUUAAAGUAACGUAUGUUGAAUAAAUUAAUGUAUAUUGGCAUGGCAAUAACGUUUGGACAGUGUAAAUUAAUUCGUAGAAAAUAAUUUUGACAAUUUCAUAUGUAAAAAGCAUUAGAUGUGGCUACAAUAAACUUAUAACUUAUAUCCUCACACCAUAAUCCUAAAACCUCUUUUUAAGAGAAAAGGUAUAGGAUAUGCACUGUUUGAUUUUUGGUUAAUAAAGGAACGCUCUUUUCAAAAAAUAAAAUACAAUGUGCAUUAAAAUCUUAAUGUAAGCAACAACAAUAUCGCAGAGUAAAAGGGUCAUCGACCCUAUAUCGCAACCCAGAAUUUCACUGCUUUAAUAAGUUUUGUAAGAUUGUCAAAGUUUUCCAUUGAGUCUUAUAGAGAAAAUAACAACCGCCUAAUCUAGCCAUUUUUACUACUUUACAAGUAUGAUAGUGAAUCACCUAAGGAAUAAUAACACCCGCCCAAUCUAGCCAUUUUUACUACUUUACAAGUAUGGUAGUGAAUCACCUAAGGAAUAUUGCUGUGAAAUUAUGUCAUAGUGGGAUUAGUGGUUUAAGAAUAGAAGGCCUUUGAAGAUUUUUAUAUUAUGGAGCUCUUUAUCUGUGAAAAUCUUUUAAAGGGACUAAACUCAAAAUCGUUCGUCAACAAAAACGAAAAAAUUGCGAUAUAUAUGUAUCAGGAAAUUAUUGUUAUAUUUCUCAAGAAGGCUUUGAGUCUUGGUUACUGACAGAUUAUAUGUUAUGGAAGCUUAUGAGCAUAGCUGUUUGCUUUUUUUAAACCAACUUUCCGUUGUCAUGGGACACCGAAGAUAACUGCCUUAAUCAUAAAGUACUACGGUCGUUAAGACAAUUGCCGAUGCAAACCAUGUUCGAUUCCCGACACAAAUAUUUAAUUCUUCUUGAUUUAGCAUUUUAUAUUUUAUAGUUUAACACCAAAAACAUGUUCUAAUGCUCAUAAUUAUUAUCGUGGCUAUUUCUAAAAGAAAGAUAAAUCUUAACCAAAGCCUGGAGUCCAGUUUCGUUAAUCAAAAAUAUAUUGUUAUGAAAGAACACAAGUAUUUAUUAAAACGUGGCAAAAAUGUCAAGAAACCUCUUUUUUUCAGUAUUUGCAGCGGUAACUUUAACAAUUUUUUUCUUAACUGAAACUGUUGGCCCGAUUUUAAAAUAAUUUCACACAAACAAGUGUUCACUGGGUGGGCCUUUACAUAUUGACCAUAUUCGUCAAUGGGUCCAAAUUCGAAAUAACUUUGCAAACAAAAAAUACAGUCUCUUGUGCGACCCUUCAUCAAUACUAUUAUUAUUUCGAUUAGUCAGAAACAUGCAUGAGUUAAAAUAUAAAUAAACCUCCUAAACCAUUUAUCGGAUUUUAACGUAACUAGACUCCACGCUUUGGCUUAGAUUAUCUUUCUUUUAGCAAUUAUGUAUCAUUAUUUAAGCAGAAUUUUAAUUUCCCGAUGCGAAAAUUAAGAAAGACAUGCAAAAAUUAAGACGAUAAGUAUCGCCCUAAAAACCUCGCGAGGAUUGUUUAAUCUCGCAUCUAUAUAUGUUUUGGGAUAUGGCGACAUUGUCGCGUGUUGGUGAGGCGAGAAUAAAGUGGAACAAACAGGAUUCCGUAGUAGUUGGAAUAAUUUUGAUAGAGUGUUUCCCUAAGAGCGUUUGCUGUGAAAAUAUUUCAAUGGCGGGCCAGAAGUUUCUAACACGAAUAUUUUCCCGGUAGAUACAUAUUAGGGAAAAAGUUUUUUUGAUAAAUCAGAAUUAUUUGUACAGUUUUAGUACAGGGCCACUGAAAUACUUUUAUGUAAUUAUUUUGAAAUCUGAUCAGUAGUUUCUAGCAAGACGAUUUUGUUGAAAGUUUCCAGUAUAUACAAACGGAAAAGUGACCACACCCCUGGUAGCCAUUUUCGACAAAUCUGAAUAAUUCACUAACAUAAAUGAAAACUGCUGUAAUACUUACGCCCGUGCAAUUGUUUUGUGUCAUACAAUUUAUCUGUAAUUUCCAAAUAAGAUCGGACCAUCACUAGACAGGUUAAUACGACAACCAAAAAGCGAAGCGAACACAGUUUUGAAGUAUAUAAUACGACAACCAAAAAGCGAAGCGAACACAGUUUUGAAGUAUAUAAUACGACAACCAAAAAGCGAAGCGAACACAUUUUUGAAGUACAAAUUCGAGUCCUCAUUAUCCAGUUUAUUUGGCUUAUAAUACACAAUACUAGACACGACUUGCGAAUAUUGUCAGUAAAACACCUUUAUUGUUGACAGUAAUUCAUAUAAAUCUUAUUAUAUGUUUAACAAAUGUAGCUGAGAAUAUAACUGCGAAAUAAAUAGAUUAAUAAUAGUCACAGCUGUCUUAGUCUGAAAUUAUUUUCUGUUUCGAAAUCUGAUUGGUGGAGUUGUUUAGGUCGCUUACACACUUUGGUUGGCCUAUGGAAGGUGUUGCAAUGCUUGGGAGUCAAUUGAGCCCUGUCAUCAACUCAAACGUGUCCGAAAGGGUUAAUCUUUGGCUUAUCAAUCUAUGUUGUACCCAAUAAUUCGCUUCUGUACAUUAGGCAAAGGCAUUAUGCACUUGGCAAGGUAUGAGAAUUUAAUAUUUUAUACAGUUUUGACACCGAUUUUCAACCUUUAACAAUUGCCGAUACUUGCCGAUAAAUACGGCAUCAUUUCAGCUCUGAAAAUAGGCUAUGUACAGUAUGAAAAUAUUUUUUGUUUCAGUUAGUUCAUAGUAUAAGAGAACUUGUUUUGAAUCCAGGAGGAAACUGGUAGAAAUGUAAAAUGGAACAAUUCUUUUGAAUUGUACACGUAUUUCUUUUGAUUAAGCGGUUUUUGUUGUACACUAUAGUAUGGAAGAGAUGUUGAAUGGCAGAAUUAUAGUACUGAAACAAUU
rnacentral:misc_RNA from 1 species